AGGUUUUCUUAGGAUUUAAGCUUAAGUUCCAUAUUGUAUUAUCACCACCAUAUGGAUUAUCUUUGACUCACCCACCUAGACACCACAAACUGUUGGUGACAACGUCUGGAGCUCCUGCUCUGAUUCCAUGCUAGAUUAUUUUAAAAUAGAGAUAGCAACGUUUCAGACAUACCGUCCAUAGAUGUGACUCUGCUGUGGGAGCACAGUCUGACAUAAUAGUACAGCUACUUUACUGCAUUGCUGGAGGGAUAAGAUUUUCAACACCUGUUCAGAUAUGAAUGAUACAUUUAUUCCUCAUAUCUCUACAGUGAAAACUCAUUUUCCUCUGAAGAUAAAAGCAGUUCCUUCUGUCAAAUCACCAAAUCACCCCCAUUUCCACCCAGAAACCUCCUGACACCUCAGAAGCAACCCAUUCCUCCCAAACUCAAAUCAUCUGUUUCCAGAUGGAACAGGUCCAUGCAUUGGAGCAAAAUUUUGAAGACAGUGAUUGGACUAAAACUACAUGCAUGUCCUGGUUUCCACAUUUUCAAAUUGCCCCUAAUAUGUCAAUCUGUUUAGAACAGACACUUACAAGGUAGUUGUAGCUCUCCUGUGGGAGGAAAACAUGUUUGAGCAUUUUAUGAGAAGAAUGUCAGCCUUAUCAAGAGGUUACAGAACAGAAUGGAAAAGGUUUAUUUAGUAUCCAGAGAGCAAGUGACAAAUAUGAAGGAGGCCAAAUGCCAGGUGAAAAACAACCUGGCUUGAUCUCAACUGAGUUUUUAUACUCUGUGUCAUAUUUUUCAUUUUGUGCUUGGAUGACUCCAAAGCUAGUAUGUGGUAACACUGCAUGCUCUGUAGGUGCAUAUGGAUGUGGAGUUGAGGUAUAGGUAAUGCACAGGAACCAGCCAUGGGGAAGAACAUAUAAUCCCUAUGCUAAGGAAAAUGUGUUUCUUGAACAUAUAUAGAGUAUGUUCUGUGUGUAGCAGGCCAGACCAAGCCACCCAUACAUAAUAAGAAAAUGCCUGCUAGGAAGAUAUUCAGUCUUUAGAAGUAAUUCAUACUUAGAACUCCAGAAAUCAGAAUUUAAGAUGUUGCAAAAAUGUUUCAUUCUCCUAGAAAUGUAUCUGCUAUUGUAAAAUAAAAUUCUUCAUGUUGACACUCAAGUUUCUUUCAUGAUUUUUCUACUCUAAACAAAACUUUGGCUGAGGAUUUUGUUUAGAAAGCUCUUCAGAUGAGAGAAAGAAAAAAGGCAUUGGAAAACUAGAUACUGUUAAGCUAAAUCCUACUGUGCAGAUCUGUGAAAAUCUGGCUGCAGAACUUACUGUGCUCCUUAAAUUAGGUCUGUAGUAGAAAGCAAAAUUAUUUGCACUGUGACCAAAUUCAUUAAUUUCCUGUUCUCUGAGAUAUGCCUAUUGUGGGAGUAAUUCUUCAGUGUCAGUUUAGCCACAAUAUUUAUACGUGUCUGUACACCUCUUCAGAGAGAGAGCUGGUAAUCCAUCCUGUUAAAGGCUUACAUACUUCUUUGAUACUAAAAUAUUUUUCUUUAUUCCAGAUAUAAAUAUCUGGUGCCACUGAGGUGGGAUAUACUGCCUAAUGUGACAGUGAGCUACAAACUUGGAGCCAGUGGGCAAUGUCAAAGGUUUUACAUGAAGAAAAAUACGUGGAUUAUGUCAUGGUCAGAUUGGUGUCCCAUGCAAGACACGAGGACAAGUUAGAUCAAGGCUGCGAAGGAAACUGAGGUAACUACUUUAGAGUAGGUCUGAACCUGAAGAAUGAAAGUGAGGUGUCCUGGACAUUUGUCUGUAAAUUCUAUCUGAAGGCAAGCAUUAAUUUUCAUAUUUCUACUAAGGUCUUGUGGACAUGUGUUUAUGAAUGAAGGAAACCUAAACAAGAGAUUUCUGCUGCUCUUCAUUGCCUCCUAUUUAUAUUAGGAAGAGAUGGUGAGAAAAAGAACAUCCAAUUUUUUCUGGACAUUUUGCACAGUUGAGAAGACAAUGUGAUUUGAUUAUUUUGUGAAGAUUCCAUAAAAUUUAUAGCUAAAUAAAGUUUCUAAAAUGUUAUUAAGGCCAAAGAGUGUCUGAGAUAGAAUGAUGUAUUGUGGGAUUUUGAUUCUUUAUAUUUUGCAUUGUGAAAUGUGCAACAGCUUUGAUUUUAGAUUUUCUGACCUAUGAGGAUGAAUACUGAUAGAAACCAGAUUGAGAUAUGAUGCUCUGUUUGUGAUUUAAUCUCCCAUAUGCUUUUUGAAAGCAGAUAAGUAAUUUCCAUCAUCAUUUGCAUUAAUAAAAUUCUGGAAAAACAUG